AUUAACCUCCUAUUAGUUUAAAUCUUCAUCUUUAGGCCCCUAUCUCCUCUCAAGGCUUCAUACUUAACAUUAAGGUUCUAUAACUUUUAUAUACUAUAAACAAACUAAGUAAGGAAAAUAAAAUAAAGUUUUUUCAUACCAACUCUUUUUAAUUUAAUCUAUUAUCCACUCUAACAUACAUUUAGUUUUAUUAACAUUUAAUGUGUUCUAACUAAUU
rnacentral:lncRNA from 1 species